AACACCGUUUCAGGUGUACCCCUACAAGAGGGUUUUGAUGAGAGUUUAACGUUUGGCUGCCCCACAUCUUUGGAACAAGUUCAGAAAAGCUCGGGGAAACUUUCGAAGACUCCAUCAGAGGGACAUAAUGAAGAUAGAGUUGUCGACAUUUGCCACACUUGUGGUAAGUUGAAUUCAGACCACAAGUGUCUCCAGUUCCGUCUGGCGGUUUUCAAGAGGGGUAUUAUCUCUCGGAAGGAACCAAGUUUCGGCAUCUAUUUUAUUCCAUGUGACAAGUUUCACUCGGUGUUUGCUAAAAUAAGUCAAACAGAA